AAAUGAGCCGAAUCCAGCCCAGGAACGGGGGAACCAAUUCUUAGGGGUGAACGUCUGAUACUUCGGUAUCAGGAACGAGGGUGGUCUACUUCUCUGCCCGAACCCGUCAGCUAACCUCGGAGGCCAUAAAGAGAGGA
rnacentral:sRNA from 1 species